rnacentral:rRNA from 1 species
UUGUAAACUCCUGUCAUUGGUGAACAAGGCCUGCGGUUAACUGCCGUUGGGUUUGAUAGUAGCCGAAGAGGAAGAGACGGCUAACUCUGUGC